rnacentral:rRNA from 1 species
CAGCAGCCGCGGGAAUACGGAGGGUGCAAGCGUUAAUCGGAAUUACUGGGCGUAAAGCGCACGCAGGCGGUCUGACAAGUCAGAUGUGAAAUCCCCGGGCUUAACCUGGGAACUGCAUUUGAAACUGUCAGGCUGGAGUCUUGUAGAGGGUGGUGGAAUUCCAGGUGUAGCGGUGAAAUGCGUAGAGAUCUGGAGGAAUACCGGUGGCGAAGGCAGCCCCCUGGACAAAGACUGACGCUCAGGUGCGAAAGCGUGGGGAGCAAACAGGAUUAGAUACCCCUGUAGUCCCUGUCUCUUAUAC